AUGACCGGGCAGGUCGGCGUGCCCAACCUCGCCCAGCUGGUGACGGUGAGACUCUCAAGGGAAAAUCACCUCCUCUGGAAGGCCCAGAUUGUUCCCAUCCUGCGGGGGCAUCAGCUUCUCGGCUUCGUCAAUGGCGAGAGCACCCCCCCGGCGCGCCUCAUUCCCGCCUCCACCGCUGAAGGGGCGGAGAUGGUGAUCAACCCAGCCCAUACGGUCUGGCACGCCCAGGACCAGCUGCUCCUUGCCGGGAUCCUCUCCACACUCUCGCCCGACAUCAUUGCGCGCACGCUGAACUUCACGACAUCGGCGCAGAUAUGGGCGGCACUCGAGCGCAUGUACGCCUCGCAGUCUCGCUCCAGGAUCAUGCAGCUUAAGAGGCAGCUUACGCACGCCCAGAAAAAGGACAUGAACAUGGCUGAUUAUUUUGGCCAUGUCAAGGGUCUCACUGACCAGCUUGCUGCGGCCGGCAGCCCGAGACUGAUGUGA
rnacentral:rRNA from 1 species